CAUUGACCUAUAAUUAUUAGCUUUUUCUCCCAGGCAUUUGAACAUUUCUUAGGGAAUUAUUUGUUGUCAGUUUUAAGAUUUAUUACAUUGUGCUCAUAUUGUAAUCCCUGAGUGGUGUGUAGUUGUUAUCGCUCCCUGCCUCCAUUCUGUGAGGUUCAACUUGAGGUACAGCUGAAGAAGCUGCCAAGGCCACUGAACCUCCUUUCCUGCCUCAGUCUGGGGACCACUGUGAGGUAACUCAGCAGGAACUGCCAGGACAAUGGUACUUACUCUGUGACUCUGCCUGCCAUCAGAGUGAGGUAACACCACAGGGGCUGCCAGGGGGGCAGAAUGUCCUCUCCACACUUCCUGAAGAGCUCCAUGACUGUGCCCUAGAACCUAAGCUGAAGAAACCUGUGGCCUGAAAGGACUUCCCAUCAUGAACAAUGGACCAUGUGUAGGAACAAACAAGUUUUACCAUAGAGCUGGCUCCUGGCAUGUUUAUGUCCUUGCUACCUGUGUAAUCUCCAUUGCUGCUGCUGCUGCUGCUGCUGUUGCUGCUGCUGCUGCUUCAUUGUUUUCUCCAUUGCAAACUGGAAAGGGCCAGGAACUUCUAAAGCCAAUCACUCAGCAUUCAAAAGCCUUGUGCUCAGGAAACUACAGAAAAUGCCAGUAACAUCACUCAACACAGAACAAGGCUUGGAAUAUCCUUCAUCCAAGAGGCUCCCGUUGAUUGAUACAGAUGUAGGGCAAAGCCAGACCCACAAGUGGGUGGGAUGAGAAGAGCAAGAAAGAUGUGUUCUGAUUCCAGGAGCACCUAGCACACUAUCCUGAUCAGGGUUGUGAGAGAACACUAUCUGAGGCAGCUUGAAGAUCUUCCUCACUGGGAACAGUUCCUUUCUGUUUUUCCAAGAGCCAAGUGACCAGGGUAAGUUCUUCUCAAGUCCCCUCCUUCCAUCACCUCCACUGCUGUGUACAUGACCCAAAGAGAGAUAGCUGUGGGCUCUUUAUGUUGGUACCACCCACAGCAGUGACAUCACCACAUGCCUACAGAACUGAUCAGUUUUCCAAGGACCCCAAAUUUGAAAGUUGUGUGGUUGUUGAUAUUAGGCAUUGUAUGUCUGGGUGAAGAUUACCUUUCCACAAUGUGUACAGAUUGCUGGACUGCAUGCUCUGACCACAACACAAGUGUUACCAAGAAGACCCAACAGCAACCUGGAAUAAACCUCUUUUUCUGCAAA